ACACAAAAUCACUCAAGAUCAAUGUCGAUGUCAUCAUCUUCAAUCUUCUGACCAAAACCUCUUGGUCCAGCUCUGGCUCUCAUUGCCUUCUUCUUCCCACCUUUCUUAGACUUCUUUGCUGCCUCGUCUUUCUCAAACUUCUCUCUCUCCCUCUUCCCAAGAAACUCA